CCUACGGGGGGCAGCAGUGGGGAAUAUUGGACAAUGGGCGAAAGCCUGAUCCAGCCAUGCCGCGUGUGUGAAGAAGGCCUUCGGGUUGUAAAGCACUUUCAGUGGGGAAGAAAGCCUUGGGGCUAAUACCCUCGAGGAAGGACAUCACCCACAGAAGAAGCACCGGCUAACUCCGUGCCAGCAGCCGCGGUAAUACGGAGGGUGCGAGAGUUAAUCGGAAUUACUGGGCGUAAAGCGCGCGUAGGCGGUCUGAUAAGCCGGUUGUGAAAGCCCCGGGCUCAACCUGGGAACGGCAUCCGGAACUGUCAGGCUAGAGUGCAGGAGAGGAAGGUAGAAUUCCCGGUGUAGCGGUGAAAUGCGUAGAGAUCGGGAGGAAUACCAGUGGCGAAGGCGGCCUUCUGGACUGACACUGACGCUGAGGUGCGAAAGCGUGGGUAGCAAACAGGAUUAGAUACCCUUGUAGUC
rnacentral:rRNA from 1 species